rnacentral:rRNA from 1 species
CCUACGGGAGGCAGCAGUAGGGAAUCUUCCACAAUGGGCGAAAGCCUGAUGGAGCACCGCCGCGUGGGUGAAGAAGGUCUUCGGAUCGUAAAACCCUGUUGUUAGAGAAGAAAGUGCGUGAGAGUAACUGUUCACGUUUCGACGGUAUCUAACCAGAAAGCCACGGCUAACUACGUGCCAGCAGCCGCGGUAAUACGUAGGUGGCAAGCGUUAUCCGGAUUUAUUGGGCGUAAGGGGAACGCAGGCGGGCUUUUAAGUCUGAUGUGAAAGCCUUCGGCUUAACCGGAGUAGUGCAUUGGAAACUGGGAGACUGGAGUGCAGAAGAGGAGAGUGGAACUCCAUGUGUAGCGGUGAAAUGCGUAGAUAUAUGGAAGAACACCAGUGGCGAAAGCGGCUCUCUGGUCUGUAACUGACGCUGAGGUUCGAAAGCGUGGGUAGCAAACAGGAUUAGAUACCCUUGUAGUC